AUGUCCUCGGCUUCAGCUCCGCUGCUCGGUGCCUGCGAGCCCGCCGACGGCGAGGCGAAGCCCUGCUCGCCGGCGUGGCUACGCCGCUUGAUCGACACGGAGGAGGCAUGGGCGCAGCUGCGGUUCGCGGUGCCGAUGGUCCUGACCAACAUGUCCUACUACGGCAUCCCGCUGGUGUCCGUGAUGUUCUCCGGCCACCUCGGCGACGUCCACCUCGCCGGCGCCGCGCUCGGCAACUCCUGGGCCACCGUCACCGGUUACGCCUUCGUCGUACGUACUCUGCCUGCUACCACACUCUCAUGA
rnacentral:rRNA from 1 species